rnacentral:tRNA from 15 species
CGGAGUGUGGCUCAGUCUGGUAGAGCACUGCGUUCGGGACGCAGGGGUCGGAGGUUCGAAUCCUCUCACUCCGACCA